CCUACGGGUGACUGCAGUGGGGAAUAUUGCACAAUGGGGGGAACCCUGAUGCAGCGACGCCGCGUGAGUGAAGAAGUCAUUCGUGAUGUAAAGCUCUAUCAGCAGGGAAGAAAAUGACGGUACCUGACUAAGAAGCCCCGGCUAACUACGUGCCAGCAGCCGCGGUAAUACGUAGGGGGCAAGCGUUAUCCGGAUUCACUGGGCGUAAAGGGAGCGCAGGCGGCAUGGCAAGUCUGAUGUGAAAACCCGGGGCCCAACCCCGGGAGUGCAUUGGAAACUGCCAGGCUGGAGUGUCGGAGGGGUAAGCGGAAUUCCUAGUGUAGCGGUGAAAUGCGUAGAUAUUAGGAGGAACACCAGUGGCGAAGGCGGCUUACUGGACGACUACUGACGCUGAGGCUCGAAAGCGUGGGGAGCAAACAGGAUUAGAUACCCGGGUAGUC
rnacentral:rRNA from 1 species